UCUGGUGACGAUGGUGAGAAGGUCACACCCGUUCCCAUCCCGAACACGGAAGUUAAGCUUCUCAGCGCCGAUGGUAGUGAAGGAUUUCCCUUUGCGAAAGUAGGACGUUGCCAGGU
rnacentral:rRNA from 1 species